CAUUAGAUAGUUUAAGUAAAAUGUUGAUUUUGGGGAUCAAGGAUAAUAUAAUUUUUAUUUCUUUUGA
rnacentral:tRNA from 1 species